rnacentral:tRNA from 1 species
CCGGGAUAGCUCAGUCGGUAGAGCAGAG